rnacentral:lncRNA from 1 species
CACCGGCCGAGGAGCAGAGGGAUCGUCGCGCUCGCGGCUGACGGGCGGCCGGGACCAGCAGAAGUGGGCGGGGUGGCCGCCUCUCCGGGCAGCCCGGGCCGGCCGGGCCCACCCUCCCCCCUCCCUAGCUGAUUGGCUCAGGCGGCCCGUUCUCCGCCCGUGAUUGUGCCGGGUCCCCAAUCCCAUUCGCCCAUGCCGCGGCCACGCCGCCCUGGGGGGCUAUGGAUCAUAUUGGAGCCACCGCCUCUAGUCUCUCGGCGGCCGUCAGGACGCGAUUGGUCCGCGGAGAGCAGAGAGGCGGAAAACCCGGGCUGGAUUUCUGGUGGCUUUUGUUCCCGCAAAUUUACGUGGAGCAUUGUUUUUGGGCGAAAACGGGGCCUUCGGCCUUCCUGCUUUAUUCCUGAGCGGUGUAAGAGGGAGGUAGUGGGUAUCUUCGAGAAACGGCCGCCGCGGGGUCCGGAGCCCCGGGUUCCAAUCCCGGGUCGGCCACUGCUAAGCUGUGUGACCUUGGGAUAUGAUCCAAGGUGCUGAAAACUUCCUAACAAAACUCUUCAGCCGAAUCUGGCACGCCUAUGGUUCCAGCUACUGGGUAGACUGAGGCAGGAGGAUCGCUUGAGGCCAAGAGUUCAAGGCCAACCUGGGCAACAUGGUGAGACCCCCCCCUCCCCCCCAGUCUCUCCAAAACAAACAAACCCCACAUUCUCCAGUCUUAGGUCUUCAAGGAUGAACAGACAUUGCAGAAAGGCACGGUUGGGAACAGAAAAAAAUGAUCUCCACUCCCCCAGCCCCCUCCACACCUUGGGCACAUUUCCCUGGAGCCGCCCGAGUGUUCUUUGUCAGUGUAGGAAGAAGCAAAAAUCUAAAUGGAGUCAGGAUGGCCUCCCACAUGGGCACAAGGACAAGGCUGGGGACAGUUGGGUCUCCUCAUCUUAUUUCCCAGGUCUAGGCUGAUUUCUAUUAAUAAUUAAAUUAAUCGUUGUUCUCCUGGACCUCACUUCUUAAUGUGAUUCCAGGAAACUGGCCACAUUCCAAAAUUCAUAAUCUAAGGUAGUGAAAUAACGUGAGCAUCAAGACAGUUUGGCUGGGCUCAGAGGCUCACAUCUGUAAUCCCAGUACUUUGGGAGGCCGAGGGUAGAUCCCUUGAGCCCAGGAGUUCGAGACCAGCCUGGGCAACAUGGCGAAAUCCCAUCUCUACAAAAAAUACAAAAAUUAGCCAGAUGUGGUGGCAUGUGCCUGUAGUCCCAGUUACUUGGGAGACUGCGGUGGAAGGAUUGCCUGAGCCCAGGAAAGGGAGGUUGCGGUGAAUGGGGAUCCCACCACUGCACUCCAGCCUGGGUGACAGCGUAAGACUCUGUCUCAAAAACAAAAGAUUCAUUUCUUAUUGAUAAAGCAAGCUCCUUGGAGAAAGAUCUUGGAACCUCAUUGGGAGUGGAGGUGGGGCUUCUUCAAUCCAGCCGAGCUGGCUGUGAAACCCCCAGGGUUUGGUACCAAGUGAGCUCCAGUCCCAGCUGUGGCUGACUGUGUGAACUUGGCUAUGCAUUCAAGGGCCUCUGAGCCUCAGUUUCCUCAUCUGUAGAAGAGAGCCAGGAACCCGUCAUCCUGGCUAGCAGUGGAAGUCAAAGGUGCUCAUGGAAAGAAUGUCCUUGCUGGCUGGAACAAGGGAGGCCUGAGCUGUGGAAGUCCUUGGAUCAAGGUCCUCCCCACUUCCCGCUGCCUUUUUGGUCCUUCUUGCGUGCUCUUUGUGAUUUAAUGGCUUAGUAGGUUGAAUCAUGUCCCCCCAAAGUUUAUCUCUACCCCAAAUCUCAGAAUGUGACCUUAUUUGGAAAAAGAGUCUUUGCAGAUAAUUAAGGUAAGAGUCAAGAUAAAAUCACACUGAAUUAUGGUGAGCCCUACAUGCAAUGAGACAGUCCUUACAAGAUACAGAAAAGAACACAUAGAGACUUCGGGGGAAAGGAGACUAUGUGCAAGGAUGGCAGAGAUUGGAGCCGAGGGGUGCCUGGGCCUACCAGAGGCUGCAAGAGACAGGGAGGACCCUCCCCUAGAGCCUCCAGGGGGAACAGCCCUGCCCACACCUUGACUUUGGACUCCUGGCCUCCAGAACUGUGAGAGGAAGUCGGCGUGGCUCAGCUCAGUCCAGUUCACAACAAAUAUGAAAUCCCUGCCCUACAGGACCAGGCCUCAGGAAGGGCUUGGGGGCCUCAGAGGCAAAUGAGACCAGGUCCAUCAACCAUACAGAACUGACAACCUGGACUCCCCACUCUGAAGGCACCUACUGUCUCACCCUUCCCUGACUCUGCCCGUGCACAAGGUGACCCCGGCUGCAAGCGUGCCAGGAGCUUUUCUCCACCUCUGCCUCAACAUCUGCCGCCUCUCCUCCUCUGGAGAGGGAGGCAGCUGAAGGACACCAGCCCCACGCCUUGCUGGAGCAGCUGAGAUCGCUGGGAGGAGACCUAGGACCCUACGAGAGGAGGGAUCUGGAGGCCAGGACAGGAGCAGGACAACACAAACAGAGGCCUCAGAAGAAGACUCAGAGUGGGACAGGGGUUCCUUAAGUGACGGGGGCUGGAAGUGCACAGAGAAGCCUGGUGCAGCAGGGAAUUUUCUCUCCCUGGGGUGCUGCCAAGGUAUGUGUGGUCUCCAGCUGCGACAUGUGCUUCCUUCCCUUGGCCUGAGUCCUGCUUUCCUGUGAUUGAGAAGGUUUGGGACCUGACACCCUGAGCAUGGAGGCCAUAAAUCCAGUGGAUCCCUAAACUUCCUGACGGGGUCCUGG